rnacentral:rRNA from 1 species
UGGCGGACGGGUGAGUAACGCGUGGGGAACCUGGCCCAUACAGGGGGAUAACAGUUAGAAAUGACUGCUAAUACCGCAUAAGACCACAGUGCCGCAUGGCACAGGGGUAAAAACUCCGGUGGUAUGGGAUGGACCCGCGUCUGAUUAGCCAGUUGGUAGGGUAACGGCCUACCAAAGCGACGAUCAGUAGCCGGCCUGAGAGGGUGGACGGCCACAUUGGGACUGAGACACGGCCCAAACUCCUACGGAAGGCAGCAG